AGAGUUUGAUCCUGGCUCAGGAUUAACGCUGGCGGCGUGCAUAACACAUGCAAGUCGAACGAUGAAACUUUACUGACUUCUUCGGAAAGAUUUAAAGUGGAUUAGUGGCGGACGGGUGAGUAACGCGUGAGUAACCUGCCUUACACAAGGGGAUAGCCGUUGGAAACGACGAAUAAUACCCUAUGAAACUAUCACUUCGCAUGAAGCGAUAGUCAAAGUGUUAGCGGUGUAAGAUGGACUUGCGUCUGAUUAGCUAGUUGGUGAGAAAAAAGCCCACCAAGGCAACGAUCAGUAGCCGGCUUGAGAGAGUGUACGGCCACAUUGGGACUGAGACACGGCCCAGACUCCUACGGGAGGCAGCAGUGGGGAAUUUUGCACAAUGGGGGAAACCCUGAUGCAGCGACGCCGCGUGAUUUAGAAGGCCUUCGGGUUGUAAAAAUCUUUUGUAUAGGAAGAAAAUGACAGUACUAUACGAAUAAGGUCCGGCUAAUUACGUGCCAGCAGCCGCGGUAAUACGUAAGGACCGAGCGUUGUCCGGAAUCAUUGGGCGUAAAGGGUACGUAGGCGGCUAGAAAAGUUAGAAGUCAAAGGCUAUAGCUCAACUAUAGUAAGCUUCUAAAACUAUUUAGCUUGAGAAAUGGAAGGGAAAGUGGAAUUCCUAGUGUAGCGGUGGAAUGCGCAGAUAUUAGGAAGAAUACCGGUGGCGAAGGCGACUUUCUGGCCAUUAUCUGACGCUGAGGUACGAAAGCGUGGGUAGCAAACAGGAUUAGAUACCCUGGUAGUCCACGCCGUAAAC
rnacentral:rRNA from 1 species